rnacentral:other from 2 species
GUUCAACUGCGACGUUGGUGACUGCCAAAAUGUUUUAUUGAUCUAUAACUUUUGAGAUACGGGAGUCACAGGAAUUCCGAGCGGCAGUAGACCAGGCUUGCACCUGGAAACUUUAAGUUCGGCCCCGACACCCACCUGGCUUUGCCAGGUCAAAAACUGAGGUAAGACGGCGUUGCGGUGAGCCU